UGUGUAUGAUGAUACCUUUUGCGGAAUCUGAUUUUCUUAUGCGGAGAAUCACCUUGGAGAACUGAACACUCA